GAUGAAGAACGUAGCGAAAUGCGAUAAGUAAUGUGAAUUGCAGAAUUCAGUGAAUCAUCGAAUCUUUGAACGCACAUUGCGCCCGCUGGUAUUCCGGCGGGCAUGCCUGUUCGAGCGUCAUUUCAACCCUCAAGCUCUCCGGAGUUUGGUGUUGGGGCGCCUGGGGCUUUUCGACCUCAGGGCCCUCAAGUCCAUCGGCGGGACCGCCAGGACACUGAGCGCAGUAGUAUUAUUUCGCUCGGUAGGAUCUUCCACGGCGGGUCGAUCUGGCCGCUAAACCCCCCAAUUCUCACCAAAGGUUGACCUCGGAUCAGGUAGGAAUACCCGCUGAGUUUAAGCAUAUCAAUAAGCGGAGGA
rnacentral:misc_RNA from 1 species